rnacentral:rRNA from 1 species
UGCCAGCAGCCGCGGUAAUACGGAGGAUCCAAGCGUUAUCCGGAUUUAUUGGGUUUAAAGGGUGCGUAGGCGGCUUAUUAAGUCAGGGGUGAAAGACGGUGGCUCAACCAUCGCAGUGCCUUUGAUACUGAUGAGCUUGAAUGAACUAGAGGUAGGCGGAAUGUGACAAGUAGCGGUGAAAUGCAUAGAUAUGUCACAGAACACCGAUUGCGAAGGCAGCUUACUAUGGUUUUAUUGACGCUGAGGCACGAAAGCGUGGGGAUCAAACAGGAUUAGAUACCCUGGUAGUCCACGCCGUAAAC